rnacentral:rRNA from 1 species
GGAUAACCUGCCCUAUCGUCUGGAAUAACCUCGGGAAACUGAGAAUAAGGCCGGAUAGUUCACAAAGCCUGGAACGGUUUGUGAAUCAAGGUAGGAUGGGUCUGCGGCGUAUCAGGUAGUAGGGGGUGUAAAGGACCCCCUAGCCUUCGACGCGUACGGGUGUUGGGAGACAUAGCCCGGAGAUGGAUUCUGAGACACGAAUCCAGACCCUACGGGGUGCAGCAGGCGCGAAAACUUCACACUGCAGGAAACUGUGAUGAGGGAACUCCAAGUGUGUGCACUAUGUGUACACUUUUAUGAACUUUUAAUCGGUUCAGGAAUAAGGGCUGGGAAAGACCGGUGCCAGCCGCCGCGGUAAUACCGGCAGCUCAAGUGGUCGUCGCUUUUAUUGGGCCUAAAACGUCCGUAGCCUGUUUGGUAAAUCGGUGGGUAAAUCAACUCGCUCAACGAGUUGAAUUCUGCAGAGACUGCCAGACUAGGGACCGGGAGAGGUGUGGGGUACUCGAGGGGUAGGGGUAAAAUCCUGUCAUCCUUCGAGGACCACCAGUUGCGAAGGCGCCACACUGGAACGGAUCCGACGGUCAGGGACGAAGCCUAGGGGCACGAACCGGAUUAGAUACCCGGGUAGUCCUAGGUGUAAACGCUGUGAACUUGGUGUCGGGGGUCCGCAAGGGGUCCCCGGUGCCGGAGUGAAGAUGUUAAGUUCACUGCCUGGGGAGUACGGUCGCAAGGCUGAAACUU